UACGUAGGGACCGAGCGUUGUCCGGAUUCAUUGGGCGUAAAGAGCUCGUAGGCGGCCACUCAAGUCGAAUGUGAAACCUCGAGGCUUAACCUCGAGCCUGCAUUCGAUACUGGGCGGCUAGAGUCUGGUAGGGGGAUCUGGAAUUCCUGGUGUAGCGGUGGAAUGCGCAGAUAUCAGGAGGAACACCGGUGGCGAAGGCGGCUUGCUGGGCCAUCACUGACGCUGAGACACGAAAGCGUGGGGAGCAAACGGG
rnacentral:rRNA from 1 species